UUUUUUUUUUUUUUUUUUUUUUUUUUUUUUUUGACAAUUACAGUUUGAACCGUAUAUUGAUUACGCCGCACCGUCGCCGUGGAUUAAGUAUAUGGAUACGGUAUUACGGCUGUUGGAUAAACACAAAAACGUUCGACUCGUUGUGUUUAUUUUAAACUCUGAGCGCAACGAUGAAUGUAUUAGUUAUAUUAUGAUGGCGGGAAAAUGUUUCUUGUUUUCUGCGUGCAAUCAACGUUUCUUCGAGGGAUUUUUUCUCCGAUUUACAAGUGAAACACAUUUUUAAAACGAAAAUGUUGUUUAGUUAAUGCAUUGAAAACGUAAUUUCUCUUAAUGACUGAAAAAAUGUACGGGAAAAUUU